GGACAACAGGCCUCAAACCAAAGUUGAUCUCUAGAAGAACCUAACAACCAUGUGUUAUAUAAUAUAUUAGUAUCUGAUAAUUAACGAAAUAUGUGUGAUCAUUAGUGAAAUAUAUACAUUGGAUAGAAUGUCUCAUUUGCAAGAGAUAUAGCUUAGAAAAAACGUUAUGAGAUGUAUAAACAUUUCCUUGUUUAGAAAUAUAGUAUCAAGGCCUAGUACUCAAACUCCAUGGCACCCUGGCCAGGCUUGAGGUGGCAUCCAAAAAGGAGAAGGAAACCAGCUGUUUCCCACCUUGAAGUUAUGUAAACUUUUUUAUUCAACAAUAUAAAUGCUGGACCCUCUUGCAGCAAAGUUGGAGACCUCACCUACAAGUGAACACACUGUGUAGCACUUCCCACAUACUGGGAAAGGUUCUCCAAGUCCUCGCUGCACCCAGGGCUCCCCAGAGACUGGUUCUUCCCAGCAAAUGACAUGAAAAAUUAUUUGCUCAGUGAAAGCAAUCACUGACAGCUUACUGAGUACAGAUAGGAGACAUUUUGUUGGCCAAAUGAAUGGACCACAUCCUAGUUUUGAAUAAAAAAACCCAACCAGAAAAAAAAGCAACAGGAAUACUUCUCAUUGCCAAAAAGCAACGUUAAAGGAAGAAAGCCAAAGGAAGCGGCUGCAAAGAAGAAGUGUGGCUGUUGUGAACUUCUCAACUCCAGCUGCUAGAACUGACUAGUGGGUGUAACAUUACACUGGCUUAGCUGCACCUUCCUGAUGUUGGUAAAUACAAUUCCAUUCCCUGGCAAGAAAGAAAAGAAAGUCUUUGUGUUUAAGCUCAUGCUCGAAAACUGUUUUCUGAAGCUGCAGGCCACCAACUUCAUGGACCAAACUUGAACACGGGUCACAGAGAGCUGAAUCUGAGUCCCUGAACUGAGUCCCCUGUCUGGGCCAUUCUCUGAGUGUGUUGCCUUUUGACUCUUCUUGCUUCUGCCAAAACUGUGCCGUCUCCUUUUUCUUUCACACAGUUCUGUUUGUCUUUUAUGCUUGGCUACAGAGUAAUGUGGCAUGAUUUAAUUCCUGCAUAUGAAAUCCAAUUGCUAAGUUGAUGUAACAAGCUAUUUCGAAUGGUUCAUACCUUUUCUUGCCACUCUCACAUGAGUGAAAAUAAAAAUAAUUAAGGAAUUAAUUCUCCAGGCUCACAGUAGCUGUGACUGAAGCAAGUAUAAAGGAAAUACUGAAGAGAAGAAUGGAAAAUCCAUUCUGCAUAUUGUGGCAUGGAGGGCUUUGUCUGAAUUUAGAUUACACAUUUCCAUUCUAAACAUUUUAUUUACCACAGGGGUAUUUACCAGGUAUCUUGCUGGUAAAGCGAUUAGUUGCUGAGUGGCAGAGCCAGCUUGUGUUAAUAUAGAAACCAGCUGUGAUCUGUAAGAACAGCGUUGUGGUAAUAAACAAUAAGCCUAGGUCCUUCCAGUGUAUUUUCUGAAUCACUCUGUUCACAAACAGGCAGGUGCUCCGAAUGUAAUACGUCCAGUACUGGCUUCAUGAAAGUUAUCCUACAAUUUAGCUCCUUACAACAUGCUGAGGAGAAACAAUAAAUGAAACUACAUGAGUCAGUAUUCAGUGGGCAGCCAAGAACUAAAUAUUUCAGCACUGGUCAUUGAGUCUUGGCAACCAAAUACUUCACAAUGCCAGUGUGGUCAACAUGCUGGGAAGACAAAGCAAGAGCACAGCAUAUGGCAUGUUUUGCAUGUGUUUCAUUUGUUUUGAUGCAGAGAUCUAAAAUUGGUUGAUGAUAUUCCUUCCGUUGCACUUCUGUAGUUAUUAAAAACUGCUUUAAAAACAACUUUUUACCACCAGUUUGUAUAACUUUUGAGUGUAUGAAUGUAUGGAAGAUGUUAUCACUUGGAAUGUAAGUUUAUACAUAAAAAUAACUCCAAAAUAAAUGAGUACGUGAAGGAAACUAAAAUAAUUCUGAAGUUAGAAAACUGACCAACAAUUAUUAAAUUAUUCCAUGAUUAAUCACAGGAGAUUGUACUAACAACAAAAACUAAACCUUUUUUAUGAACAUACAUUUCAUUUGACUUUUCAAAGAAGCUGCUUAAUAAAUCCUCACUUGAGAUUGUAUUUGUCACUUAGCACAGGCCAGCAGCGUCCUGUGUUAGCAACCAGCUUUAAGAGAUGCUUUGUGUCUGCUGUUAGGGGAAGAGAGUCCUCUCGUUGAGGAUGUCAGAAGUUGCCUUGCACCCUGAACAUCCUCAGUACUUUCAAACUAAUGUAACUGGAGGUAUUUGAUUAAAGUAG
rnacentral:lncRNA from 7 species